rnacentral:rRNA from 1 species
AGUGAACGCUGGCGGUAGGCCUAACACUUGCAAGUCGAACGGCAGCACAGUAAGAGCUUGCUCUUACGGGUGGCGAGUGGCGGACGGGUGAGGAAUACAUCGGAAUCUACUUUUUCGUGGGGGAUAACGUAGGGAAACUUACGCCAAUACCGCAUACGACCUACGGGUGAAAGCAGGGGAUCUUCGGACCUUGCGCGAUUGAAUGAGCCGAUGUCGGAUUAGCUAGUUGGCGGGGUAAAGGCCCACCAAGGCGACGAUCCGUAGCUGGUCUGAGAGGAUGAUCAGCCACACUGGAACUGAGACACGGUCCAGACUCCUACGGGAGGCAGCAGUGGGGAAUAUUGGACAAUGGGCGCAAGCCUGAUCCAGCCAUACCGCGUGGGUGAAGAAGGCCUUCGGGUUGUAAAGCCCUUUUGUUGGGAAAGAAAAGCAGCAGGUUAAUACCCCGCUGUUCUGACGGUACCCAAAGAAUAAGCACCGGCUAACUUCGUG